CCUGUUUCUGUACAACUUGUAAAGAGUUUGGACCUUAAGUUUUAACUAGGUUUGCUUGAGAAAGCGUUAUUCAUGCUAACUUCUUGUAGAUUUCUGUUUUUAACUGACUCUUGCAAGAAGAACAUGUGGAUUUAUCAGUCAAAACUGUUGAACAAUUAUGGCGGAUGGAAUGCAGUGUUAAAGGAAAAUAUUAAGAUAUUCAUCGUGACCUAGAAGGGGAUCCCAGCCUUGGAAUCAGGAGCCGAUGAGAACCAGCUCAAACACAUUGACCCUCAAAAUGGAAACUUCAUGUGGAAGAUGGAAAAAUUGCUCUAAGAGUGUUCCAUGUUAUUGAUAAAAUACUUCCAGCACCUUCGUUCUGCUUGACAAAUUACUCCAGAAGAGUGGCAGUCACGGAAUGGAAGUUGAAUUUUUUGGAAGCAUCAUCUGGGCAGUGAGAAGAUGCCUGCACGGAUCACUCGUUCGUAGAUCACAGGGUCUUUGGGCCAAGGGACAAACUGUGUGGGCGAGACAGAAACGUCUUCACAGUCUUCUCAUAAGCAAUCAGGCUUGCUAUUUCCCAAGGUGACGCGAGG
rnacentral:lncRNA from 1 species